rnacentral:tRNA from 1 species
GCCAAGGUAGCUCAGCGGUUAGAGCACUGCAUUCAUAACGCAGCGGUCGUGAGUUCAAAUCUCACCCUUGGCA